rnacentral:rRNA from 1 species
AGCGAACGCUGGCGGUAGGCCUAACACAUGCAAGUCGAACGGCAGCACAGUAAGAGCUUGCUCUUACGGGUGGCGAGUGGCGGACGGGUGAGGAAUACAUCGGAAUCUACUUUUUCGUGGGGGAUAACGUAGGGAAACUUACGCUAAUACCGCAUACGACCUACGGGUGAAAGCAGGGGAUCUUCGGACCUUGCGCGAUUGAAUGAGCCGAUGUCGGAUUAGCUAGUUGGCGGGGUAAAGGCCCACCAAGGCGACGAUCCGAAGGUGGUCUGAGAGGAUGGUCACCCACCCGGGAAGUGAGAAAGGGUCCAGACUCCUACGGGAGGCCGCAGUGGGGAAUAUUGGACAAUGGAGGCGAGCCUAAUACAGCCAUACCGCGUGGAGGAUGAAGGCCUUAGGGUUGGAAAGCCCUUUUGUUGGGAGAGAAAAGCAGCAGGUUAAUACCCCGCUGUUCUGACGGUACCCAAAGAAUAAGCACCGGCUAACUUCGUG